rnacentral:rRNA from 1 species
AACAGGAUUAGAUACCCUGGUAGUCCACGCCGUAAACGAUGUCGACUUGGAGGUUGUUCCCUUGAGGAGUGGCUUCCGGAGCUAACGCGUUAAGUCGACCGCCUGGGGAGUACGGCCGCAAGGUUAAAACUCAAAUGAAUUGACGGGGGCUCGCACAAGCGGUGGAGCAUGUGGUUUAAUUCGAUGCAACGCGAAGAACCUUACCUACUCUUGACAUCCAGAGAACUUAGCAGAGAUGCUUUGGUGCCUUCGGGAACUCUGAGACAGGUGCUGCAUGGCUGUCGUCAGCUCGUGUUGUGAAAUGUUGGGUUAAGUCCCGCAACGAGCGCAACCCUUAUCCUUUGUUGCCAGCGGUCCGGCCGGGAACUCAAAGGAGACUGCCAGUGAUAAACUGGAGGAAGGUGGGGAUGACGUCAAGUCAUCAUGGCCCUUACGAGUAGGGCUACACACGUGCUACAAUGGCGCAUACAAAGAGAAGCGACCUCGCGAGAGCAAGCGGACCUCAUAAAGUGCGUCGUAGUCCGGAUUGGAGUCUGCAACUCGACUCCAUGAAGUCGGAAUCGCUAGUAAUCGUAGAUCAGAAUGCUACGGUGAAUACGUUCCCGGGCCUUGUACACACCGCCCGUCACACCAUGGGAGUGGGUUGCAAAAGAAGUAGGUAGCUUAACCUUCGGGAGGGCGCUUACCACUUUGUGAUUCAUGACUGGGGUGAAGUCGUAACAAGGUAACC